GGAGGCAAUUCCAUCAGCAAGGUGCCACUUCCCAUCCACUAGCCUAGUCGAAUAAAACGCAGAAGUUAAGCAUGCUCGGGCUGGAGUAGUCCAAGGAUGGGUGACCCAAUGGGAAGUUGCAUAUCUCAA
rnacentral:rRNA from 1 species